rnacentral:lncRNA from 1 species
GGGGGAAGUACAUCUUAGAUUAUUGGAAUAGAACUUAAAGAAUUUCUUAUGUGAUUUAAAAGACUAGAGAAAACUAACAAAACUUUAUUACAAAAAAAUUAUAGAUAAAUUACAAAAUAACAAGAAAUAAAAAUGAACAAAUCUGAAAGUAUGCGAGGCAUUAUACUAUGUCGUAUUUUUAUUUUUUAUGCAAAAAAAAUUAAAAAUACCACUCUAAGAUACGACUGGGACCCUCCACCUGUGAGCACAAUCA